rnacentral:rRNA from 1 species
CGGCAGGCUUAACACAUGCAAGUCGAGGGGUAUUGGUUUUCGGUACCAAGAGACCGGCGCACGGGUGCGUAACGCGUAUGCAAUCUACCUUUUGUCAGAGGGAUAGCCCAGAGAAAUUUGGAUUAAUACCUCAUAGUAUGUGAGAAUGGCAUCAUUUCACAUUAAAGUCACAACGGCAAAAGAUGAGCAUGCGUCCCAUUAGCUUGUUGGUAAGGUAACGGCUUACCAAGGCAACGAUGGGUAGGGGUCCUGAGAGGGAGAUCCCCCACACUGGUACUGAGACACGGACCAGACUCCUACGGGAGGCAGCAGUGAGGAAUAUUGGACAAUGGGCGCAAGCCUGAUCCAGCCAUGCCGCGUGCAGGAUGACGGUCCUAUGGAUUGUAAACUGCUUUGUACAGGAAGAAACACUGGUUCGUGAACCAGCUUGACGGUACUGUAAGAAUAAGGAUCGGCUAACUCCGUG